CCAGUAGGCACGAAAGCGAUGACACUGAUAAGGAAUCAGAGCAAAUACAUCUCAGUUCAGCUAGUACACUAACAAUGUCAAGUGAUUCAGCGACCAGUUUCUCAACACAUUUUAUGAACACAGUUUUAAAAAACCAAGCUGCAAU